rnacentral:rRNA from 1 species
GACGAACGCUGGCGGCGUGCUUAACACAUGCAAGUCGAACGAAAAGAGGGAAAGAGCUUGCUCUUUCCGGCAUUGAGUGGCGAACGGGUGAGUAACACGUAAACAACCUGCCUUCAGGAUGGGGACAACAGACGGAAACGACUGCUAAUACCGAAUAAGUUCCAAGAGCUGCGUGGCCCAUGGAAGAAAAGGUGGCCUCUACCAGUACGCUAUCGCCUGAGGAGGGGUUUGCGUCUGAUUAGCUGGUUGGUAGGGUAACAGCCUACCAAGGCGACGAUCAUAGCUGGUCUGAGAGGAUGAUCAGCCACACUUGGACUGAGACACGGCCCAGACUCCUACGGGAGGCAGCAGUGGGGAAUAUUGGAGAAUGGGCGAAAGCCUAAUCCAGCAGUGCCGCGUGAGUGAUGAAGGCCUUAGGGUUGUAAAGCUCUUUUACCCGGGAUGAUAAUGACAGUACCGGGAGAAUAAGCUCCGGCUAACUCCGUG